rnacentral:rRNA from 1 species
GAUGAACGCUAGCGGCAGGCCUAAUACAUGCAAGUCGAGGGGUAAUUCUGCUUUCGGGCAGAAACGACCGGCGCACGGGUGCGUAACGCGUAUGCAACCUACCCACAACUGGGGGAUAGCCCGGAGAAAUCCGGAUUAAUACCCCAUAAUGCAGGGGUACUGCAUGGUACUAUUUGCUAAAGAUUUAUCGGUUGUGGAUGGGCAUGCGUCUGAUUAGUUAGUUGGUGAGGUAACGGCUCACCAAGGCGACGAUCAGUAGGGGGUCUGAGAGGAUGAUCCCCCACACUGGUACUGAGAUACGGACCAGACUCCUACGGGAGGCAGCAGUAGGGAAUAUUGGUCAAUGGGCGGAAGCCUGAACCAGCCAUGCCGCGUGCAGGAUGACGGCCUUCUGGGUUGUAAACUGCUUUUAUCAGGGAAGAAAACGGUCAUGCGUGACAGAUUGACGGUACCUGAAGAAUAAGCACCGGCUAACUCCG